rnacentral:rRNA from 1 species
UACGAAGGGGGCUAGCGUUGCUCGGAAUUACUGGGCGUAAAGGGCGCGUAGGCGGAUAUUUAAGUCGGGGGUGAAAGCCCAGGGCUCAACCCUGGAAUUGCCUUCGAUACUGGAUAUCUUGAGUUCGGGAGAGAUGAGUGGAAUGCCGAGUGUAGAGGUGAAAUUCGUAGAUAUUCGGCGGAACACCAGUGGCGAAGGCGACUCACUGGCCCGAUACUGACGCUGAGGCACGAAGGCCAGGGGAGCAAACGGG